rnacentral:rRNA from 1 species
AUUGAACGCUGGCGGCAUGCCUUACACAUGCAAGUCGAACGGUAACGGGCCUUCGGGUGCCGACGAGUGGCGAACGGGUGAGUAAUACAUCGGAACGUGCCCGAUCGUGGGGGAUAACGAGGCGAAAGCUUUGCUAAUACCGCAUACGAUCUACGGAUGAAAGCAGGGGACCGCAAGGCCUUGCGCGGACGGAGCGGCCGAUGGCGGAUUAGGUAGUUGGUGGGCUAAAAGCUUACCAAGCCGACGAUCUGUAGCUGGACUGAGAGGAUGAUCAGCCACACUGGGACUGAGACACGGCCCAGACUCCUACGGGAGGCAGCAGUGGGGAAUUUUGGACAAUGGGCGCAAGCCUGAUCCAGCCAUGCCGCGUGCAGGAUGAAGGCCUUCGGGUUGUAAACUGCUUUUGUACGGAACGAAAAGCCUUCUUUUAAUACAGGAGGGUCAUGACGGUACCGUAAGAAUAAGCACCGGCUAACUACGUG